rnacentral:rRNA from 1 species
AACGAACGCUGGCGGCAUGCCUAACACAUGCAAGUCGAACGAGAUCUUCGGGUCUAGUGGCGCACGGGUGCGUAACGCGUGGGAAUCUGCCCUUUGGUUCGGAAUAACAGUUGGAAACGACUGCUAAUACCGGAUGAUGACGAAAGUCCAAAGAUUUAUCGCCAGAGGAUGAGCCCGCGUAGGAUUAGCUAGUUGGUGUGGUAAAGGCGCACCAAGGCGACGAUCCUUAGCUGGUCUGAGAGGAUGAUCAGCCACACUGGGACUGAGACACGGCCCAGACUCCUACGGGAGGCAGCAGUGGGGAAUAUUGGACAAUGGGCGAAAGCCUGAUCCAGCAAUGCCGCGUGAGUGAUGAAGGCCUUAGGGUUGUAAAGCUCUUUUACCCGGGAUGAUAAUGACAGUACCGGGAGAAUAAGCUCCGGCUAACUCCGUGUCAGCCGCCGCCGUAAGAC